GGGGAAUAUUGGACAAUGGGGGCAACCCUGAUUCAGCCAUGCCGCGUGAGUGAUGAAGGCCUUAGGGUUGUAAAACUCUUUUAUCCGGGAAGAUAAUGAUUGUACCGGAAGAAUAAGCCCCGGCUAACUUCGUGCCAGCAGCCGCGGUAAUACGAAGGGGGCUAGCGUUGUUCGGAAUCACUGGGCGUAAAGCGCACGUAGGCGGAUUGUUAAGUCAGAGGUGAAAUCCCGGAGCUCAACUUCGGAACUGCCUUUGAUACUGGCAAUCUCGAGUCUGGAAGAGGUUAGUGGAACUGCGAGUGUAGAGGUGAAAUUCGUAGAUAUUCGCAAGAACACCAGUGGCGAAGGCGGCUAACUGGUCCAGUACUGACGCUGAGGUGCGAAAGCGUGGGGAGCAAAC
rnacentral:rRNA from 1 species